UACGUAGGGCGCAAGCGUUAUCCGGAAUUAUUGGGCGUAAAGAGCUCGUAGGCGGUUUGUCGCGUCUGCCGUGAAAGUCCGGGGCUCAACUCCGGAUCUGCGGUGGGUACGGGCAGACUAGAGUGAUGUAGGGGAGACUGGAAUUCCUGGUGUAGCUGUGAAAUGCGCAGAUAUCAGGAGGAAUACCCAUAGCGAAGGCAGCUCGCUGGGACGUUACUGACGCUGAGGCGCGAAAGCGUGGGGAGCGAACAGG
rnacentral:rRNA from 1 species